UUAUCCACGUGUUGCCUUCCUUUUAGUUUUGUUGUUGUAUAGUCAUUUUAUUUUAUAAGCAUAUGUCAUUCAAGGUGACCUUUAAAGAGGAUGCUUAUGAAAGGGAAAACUUUCUGGCUACAAAAUAUCCUUACAGGCAUUAGAUAUAUAAUCUUUAUAUACAUGGAGAUGCACUUUACAGGAGCAUUGCAAGUGUUUGAUGGAUAUCAACUGAACUUGCUGCCUUGUCUAGUCAGCAACAUGGUGCCUCGUUUCAAAAGCAAAGCAGCAACGAUAAUUUGUUCCAGCAAAAUCUGGGCAUAUCCAAUGAUCUCUCAAGUGAUCCCAACCAACAUUCACACAGAUCCUUGAAAAGCUAUACCAUGCCAGCCACGUCAUCAUUGGAAAUGAGUUGGUGAAGCUAGCAUCCAUUCAGCUCUCAUUCAAUGAUUGUGCUUCUGCAAUGGAUACCAUAAGACGGGUAGAUGCAAUAUUUUCACUGUAUUAUGGAUCUCACACGUCGAAGCUAUUUCCAUAUUUGGAAAAUCUCAAAAGAAAAGUUCUCAAGCUCGCUCCAUAAUGAGAAACCUUCUGUUUUAUCUGUUCAGGUUAGUAGCACACGCUUUUGCUUCUUGCACCAAUUUUUUUUCAAGGAAUGCUAAUUGCUCAACCUUAAUACAAUAAAGUUCUCAUUUAAUAGGUAUGAUCAUAAUCCAUGUGCAAUUGGAAUGCCUCAUUCAAGCUCAUCUUCUUUGAUUUUCACCCCUGUUUUCCUCAUUUUUUUCUUUUGAAUGUUACUUGGGUAAGAGAUUGUCUGUGAUAUCUUUUAACAUAUAAUGGCCUACAUGCAUAUGCCUUACUGUAAAAGAUGGCUAUGGUUCCUAUCAUUGCCUUGCUUGGAUGGAAAUUUUUCUCUAACAUUGAAUUUGAAGGUUACUACAUUUUUUCUCUAGUCUUUGAUUUAUAUAGAAAAAAAAAUCAAGAAAAAAAAGUUGUGCAGAUUUUGGUACGGAAGAACUCAAUCAAAAGCUAUUUGGAGUUGUGUUUCUCUUGUUUCUUUUAUUUCCAAUGACUCUUAAGUAAAUAAAGAAAAUUUUGCAGACUCAUUGAUAUAAACCCAACCAAAAGCUAUUUGUGGAAUUGGGUUUCCAUUGUUUCUUCAUUUCCAAUUUUAUGCAGGGGUGAGCCCUCAACGGUUCAAGCUUCGGGAAUGUAAACCCGAAGUUUCUGCUACGUGUCAGACAUGGUAUGUGGUAGAUACUUUCUUCCUCCU